GACGAACGCUGGCGGCGUGCUUAACACAUGCAAGUCGAACGGUAAGGCCCUUCGGGGUACACGAGUGGCGAACGGGUGAGUAACACGUGGGUGAUCUGCCCUGCACUUCGGGAUAAGCCUGGGAAACUGGGUCUAAUACCGGUUAGGACCCUGGGAUGCAUGUCCUGGGGUGGAAAGCUUUUGCGGUGUGGGAUGGGCCCGCGGCCUAUCAGCUUGUUGGUGGGGUGAUGGCCUACAAAGGCGACGACGGGUAGCCGGCCUGAGAGGGUGACCGGCCACACUGGGACUGAGAUACGGCCCAGACUCCUACGGGAGGCAGCAGUGGGGAAUAUUGCACAAUGGGCGCAAGCCUGAUGCAGCGACGCCGCGUGAGGGAUGACGGCCUUCGGGUUGUAAACCUCUUUCAGCACCGACGAAGCGCAAGUGACGGUAGGUGCAGAAGAAGGACCGGCCAACUACGUGCCAGCCGCCGCAGUAA
rnacentral:rRNA from 1 species